UACGUAGGGGGCAAGCGUUAUCCGGAUUUACUGGGUGUAAAGGGAGCGCAGACGGUAAAGCAAGUCUGAAGUGAAAGCCCGCGGCUCAACUGCGGGACUGCUUUGGAAACUGUUUAACUAGAGUGCUGGAGAGGUAAGCGGAAUUCCUGGUGUAGCGGUGAAAUGCGUAGAUAUCAGGAAGAACAUCAGUGGCGAAGGCGGCUUACUGGACAGUAACUGACGUUCAGGCUCGAAAGCGUGGGGAG
rnacentral:rRNA from 1 species